AAACGUUUCAUUGUUUCAUUGACUUCUUUAUUGCAAAAAAUGGGAAGAAUUCCACGUGAGCACAUGCACACGAGCAAAACAGAAAAAGAAAACAGAAUACAAACAAGCUAACUCCACCAUUUGGAGAUUAACUGUGAUUGAGAACUGGCUAUAAAAUCCUUCCAGGUGUUUCAUGGAUUCACUAAUUUACAGGAAUAGGGCCAUGCAAUGAAAGUUUUCCAGCGUGCAUUAUGAACCACUUUUGUACUCAUCAAUAACCAUGAACGACUUUUUACAACAUCUUCAAAAAAAUUUAAAAAUUAGAAGUGAUGAAAAUCACUGCGUAGAAACGCUAUAUGAAAUCAACAGUUCCAGGGGCUCUUGGGGAAGUAAUGGGGAGUUGCAAGCUCUCAACCUUCUCCCCUCGCAGUUACUUCCUGUAGCAACUUUGGAACACCUUUGGGAACACGCUUUGAAGUCCUUACCUGCAGCCUGGCUUUCAGUGGCUAAAUGGGAUUCCCAUGUGUGGACACCUCAAUUGACUGACACUAGUGAAUGAAAUUUGGCUUGUUUCCAAUUUUGUCCUUAUCAUAAAAA